AUGUUUACUUGGUAGCAUAUAUACUAAAACUGGAACAAUACUGAGUAGAUUUGCAUGGCCCAGUGAAAGGAUGACAUGCAAAUCUGUAAUAUAUAUGUUUUUAUU